GAUGAACGCUGGCGGCGUGCCUAAUACAUGCAAGUAGAACGCUGAAGGAGGAGCUUGCUUCUCCGGAUGAGUUGCGAACGGGUGAGUAACGCGUAGGUAACCUGCCUGGUAGCGGGGGAUAACUAUUGGAAACGAUAGCUAAUACCGCAUAACAGUAGAUAUCGCAUGAUAUCUGCUUGAAAGGUGCAAUUGCAUCACUACCAGAUGGACCUGCGUUGUAUUAGCUAGUUGGUGAGGUAACGGCUCACCAAGGCGACGAUACAUAGCCGACCUGAGAGGGUGAUCGGCCACACUGGGACUGAGACACGGCCCAGACUCCUACGGGAGGCAGCAGUAGGGAAUCUUCGGCAAUGGACGGAAGUCUGACCGAGCAACGCCGCGUGAGUGAAGAAGGGUUUCGGAUCGUAAAGCUCUGUUGUAAGAGAAGAACGAGUGUGAGAGUGGAAAGUUCACACUGUGACGGUAGCUUACCAGAAAGAGACGGCUAACUACGUG
rnacentral:rRNA from 1 species